AUUGAACGCUGGCGGCAGGCUUAACAAAUGCAAGUCGAGCGAGCGGCGGACGGGUGAGUAAUGUAUGGGAAACUGCCUGAUGGAGGGGGAUAACUACUGGAAACGGUAGCUAAUCCCGCAUACCAUCAGAUGUGCCCAGAUGGUAUUAGCUAGUAGGUGGGGUAAUGGCUCACCAAGGCGACGCUCCCUAGCUGGUCUGAGAGGAGGACCAGCCACACUGGAACUUAGACCCGGUCCAGACUCCUACGGUAGGCAGCAGUGGGGAAUAUUGCACAAUGGGCGCAAGCCUGAUGCAGCCAUGCCGCGUGUGUGAAGAAGGCCUUCGGGUUGUAAAGCACUUUCAGCGAGGAGGCGUUACUCGCAGAAGAAGCACCGGCUAACUCCGUGCCAGCAGCCGCGGUAAUUC
rnacentral:rRNA from 1 species